rnacentral:misc_RNA from 1 species
AACAAUAUUGGAUACAAGCAGCUUGUAAGUCAACUUUUGUUCUUCUUUUAUGGUUUAUUGUAGCAUCAUUGGUCCACAGCUCCAGCCCUUUUCAGCCAAAAUAUCCAGGUUUCACAGAUUUUCAACCAGGCUCAUUUCUUUAUUUGGGAUUUGCCAUUGUGUGUGAUUUUACUAUGGUUUCAAAAACAGCCAUUGAAUACAAGUUUUGAG